AUGGUCAUAUCAUGUUGAAACAUUGGUUCCCAUACGAUCAUCGAAGUUAAGUAACAUUAACCUUGGUCAAUACUUAGAUGGGUGAUUACUUGCGAAUAUCAGGUGCUGUAAG